rnacentral:tRNA from 27 species
GGAGUAGUACUCAAGAGGCCGAAGAGGCGCCCCUGCUAAGGGCGUAGGUCGUCUAAACAACGGCGCGAGGGUUCAAAUCCCUCCUACUCCGCCA